rnacentral:tRNA from 1 species
AGCUCAGUGGUAGAGCUAUCGGCUGUUAACCGAUCGGUCGUAGGUUCGAGUCCCGUAGGGG